AUGAAGAAAAGAUCACACUGUUCCUAUUUGGAAUUAGAAAAGUUAACGUUAGGAGAGAAAACAGAUUUCAUAGAAGAGUUAGAGAAUAACUGUGUUUUCAUCACACAUGAAUAUAAGCUAGUCGUUCUUGGCUCAGGAGGUGUUGGGAAGUCGGCUCUGACUGUACAGUUUGUUCAAGAAAUUUCUGUUGAAAAAUAUGAUCCUACGAUCGAAGAUUCUUAUAGAAAGCAAGCUGAAGUAGAUGCACAGCAGUGCAUGCUUGAAAUCUUGAACACUGCAGGGAUGGAACAAUUUACAGCAAUGAGAGAUUUGUACAUGAAAAAUGGACAAAGCUUUGUUUUAGUUUAUUCCAUCACAGCACAGUCCAUAUUUAAUGAUUUACAAGAUCUGAGAGAACAGAUUCUUCAGGUUAAAGACACUGAUGAUUUUCCAAUGAUUUGGAAGAUGAAAGAGUUGUAGGAAAGGAACAAGGUCAAAAUCUAGCAAGACAAUGGAACAACUGUGCAUUCUUAGAAUCUUCUACAGAAUCAAAAAUAAAUGUUAAUGAGAUCUUUUAUGACCCAGUGUGGCAAAUUAACAGAAAAACCCCAGUGCCUGGGAAGGCCUGCAAAAAGUCGUCAUGUCAGCUGUUUUAA